AGGAAAAAGUGCAGUAAACGUAGUUUCAGACUGUCAGCAUAAAUGAGCUAGUGACAGCAUGCCCCUGCAUACCUGCUGCGGGUGAGGGAGAGCAAGAGUUCAAGGGCUGC